rnacentral:rRNA from 1 species
ACUAAAUAGAUACCCCGGUAGUCCACGCUGUAAACGAUGAUUACUCGAUGUUGGCGAUACACAGUCAGCGUCUGAGCGAAAGCAAUAAGUAAUCCACCUGGGGAGUACGAUCGCAAGAUUGAAACUCAAAGGAAUUGACGGGGGCCCGCACAAGCGGAGGAGCAUGUGGUUUAAUUCGAUGAUACGCGAGGAACCUUACCUGGGCUCGAACGUAAGAUGACUGUAGGUGAAAGCUUACAUCUCUUCGGAGCAUUUUACGAGGUGCUGCAUGGUUGUCGUCAGCUCGUGCCGUGAGGUGUCGGGUUAAGUCCCAUAACGAGCGCAACCCCGUACCUUUAGUUGCCAACAGGUCAUGCUGGGGUACUCUAAAGGAACCUGCCUACGCAAGUAGUGAGGAAGGCGGGGUAUGACGUCAAAUCAGCACGGCCCUUACGGUCCAGGGCUACACACGUGCUACAAUGGCCGAUACAGAGGGUCAGCUACCUGGUGACAGGAUGCAAAUCUCCAAAGUCGGUCUCAGUUCGGAUC